GCAGAAAAUGGAAAGUAAUGGUGUAAGGACUGAAGGCUUUCAAUCAUGUAAGUGGAAGGAGUAAAGAGAGUCCGUGUUCAAAGUGAAAGCAGCACCUUAGCGCAGCAAAAGCCCCACAGCCUGGCAGGAUUGGGCAUUAUGGAAUGCAAUAGCCAAGGGAAUGAGUUGGAAGAGGCAAAAGCUGCCCAGUAUUUGCACCCACCAUGUAUGACCUUGGUCCUUCAGGGGCAAGGCAGUGUGAAGGGAGAAUGAACACACAUGAGGCAGCAAAGACAAGGCAUGGGAUCAAGCCGUAAGGAACUGAAGUGUUCACUGCCACACUGUGCUGGUAACAAACCCUGAGUCCUGCCAACCCAGAUGGGCAGAAAUCGUGAGCUGGGUUCUCACCAAGCACAGCAUCAGCUCUAAAACAUGAGUUUUCAGGGAGAAAAAAAACCCCAACAAGCCAAACCAACAGAACCAACUCAUAUCUUUUU